GAGGAAUUAAUUAAAUGAUAAUAUUGCCUUGUCAAGGCAAAAUUGCAAGUUGGACCCUUGUCUUCCUCU
rnacentral:tRNA from 2 species